rnacentral:rRNA from 1 species
GGGGAAUAUUGCACAAUGGGCGAAAGCCUGAUGCAGCAACGCCGCGUGAGUGAUGAAGGCCUUCGGGUUGUAAAGCUCUGUCUUUGGGGACGAUAAUGACGGUACCCAAGGAGGAAGCCACGGCUAACUACGUGCCAGCAGCCGCGGUAAUACGUAGGUGGCGAGCGUUGUCCGGAUUUACUGGGCGUAAAGGAUGCGUAGGCGGAUAUUUAAGUGAGAUGUGAAAUACCCGGGCUUAACUUGGGUGCUGCAUUUCAAACUGGAUAUCUAGAGUGCGGGAGAGGAGAAUGGAAUUCCUAGUGUAGCGGUGAAAUGCGUAGAGAUUAGGAAGAACACCAGUGGCGAAGGCGAUUCUCUGGACCGUAACUGACGCUGAGGCAUGAAAGCGUGGGGAGCAAAC